GCAUGAGAAUCACUUGAACCCGGGAGGUGGAGGUUGCAGGGAGCUGAGAUCGCACCUCUGUACUCCAGCCUGGAUGACAGAGCGAGACUCUGUUUCAAAAAACAGGAAAAGAAAAAGAAAUGAAGCCCAUUCUACUUCCUAGCUUUUGGAAAGUGACCUGUUCCCGUCUCUGGAAGCUUGCAGGAUCUUCUGUUUGUCCACAGUAUUCUGAAAUGUCCCAGAGAUGAGGUCUGGUGUGUGUCUGAAUGCCUAAUGAGGAAAGGUGCACUCCGUGGCUCAGUUCUCUAGAGAAGACAUUUCCAGUCUCUUCACCGAGGCAAAGACCCAGCUUCAGACCUCAGAUCUUCAUCAAAGUUAUUUAGCUAAAGCUUAUUUUCACCAGUUGCCCCAAGCAUACGUCAGUAUGGUCACGUGACUAUACAAGGAGCUAUUCUAUAUGGACCAUAGGGGAGGGGCAGGCGUUCACCAACUGGAGGAGAAAGGACAUCUGCAGCAGAAGGUGUUCAAAGGUGUGCACAGAAGUGAGGAGAUAACGAACAGUAUGUUUGGGGAACAUAACUACCUUGGAGCCAGGAUCUCACAUUGUUCAGCAUCCCGAGUGACACACUGAGUGGCCCGGGGCAGAACCGUGUGUUCUCGAGCUGUAUGCAUCAUCAUGGGCCCACCUGGGGGGACUUCUGAUCUACACUUCUGCAGAGAACGUUCCCUACAGCCACGGACCAAGGCAUCUGAAGAAGGCACAUGCCUAUCUGUGACUGGUUCCACAGUGACUCAUCAGGUCUUAAGUUUUUUUAAAAAAGGCUGACUGAGGAGGUUUCCAGACCUGCACUUUUCCAGAUGGUUCUGUGGGCUUUGGCCUGAGGUUGGGCUGAACCCUGCUGGAACACGGGCGAUUGGAAAGGUUCACCGAAGAGUGAGAACAACUCCAAACCUUCUUCUACCCACCCCUCCAACAUGAAAAAGUAAAAAGACUAGGAGAGGAAAUGGAAACUCUAGCACUUCUCUUUUGGUGAAACCUUAUGAAAAUAAGUCAAUUUCUUGCCUUUGUGCUUCCUUUGGAAAGACUUUUUAGCCUUUGGAGUCUGAUGAAGCUAGGUAUGAGUUUGGCCCCACUGCUGUCUGGCUAAGAGAUCUUGGACAACUUACUUAACUUUUCUGAGCCUCAAUUGUUGGGAGAAUUGAGACAAUGUAGGUGAAGUGCCUUCUGGGUCUAUACUUGAGGUAGGAUAGGGUUUAAUAUCAGUGUUCCUCUUCGUAUUCCACUAAGGUAGCUUUUUAGCUUUCUUUGACAAGUCAGUUCUCUAGUUCUCCGUUUUCUCACUUGUAAUUAGGACAUCGGAUUGGACAUUCUCUAAGUUCCUCUCAGCGCCAGUAUGCUAUGACAUUUUUUCUAAAAUAAGGUUUGUGGACUACUUAGAACAGAAUAACUUUAAGUGUGUUUUAAAAACACAGAUUCCUGGGUUCCUCUCCAGACCUGCUGAAACUUGCACUUCCCUUGUGCUUCCUCAUGCUUGGCAAUCUCUGUUCUGUUUUACAUCUUAUCUACCUUGCCCAUCUUUAUAACUCAAUCUAAAAUCUCAAUGCUGGGCUAAUGGUAGGGCCUCAAUAUGUCCUUGAUUACUACAACUCGCUGCCUAGACUGGGAACUACCUUUGCUGCCAUCUUGGUUUCUUCGAGGGUCAGUCCUCUUGUCUUCAAUAUGUGUAGUGAUUCCCCCAAAAUAGAAGACAGCUCAGGUCAGAGAAAAAGCCUGGGCAUCUAUGAGGAUGAGUGGGAAAUAGGGAGUCUGGAAAAGGAGAGUUUUGGAUCAUGGACCCUCAGAGGCUCCUUCCCAGUCUGGAAUCCUGAGACUCUAGUUUCCACUGAGGGAACUGAUUCCACUGUGCUAGUUCACAUCACCUCCUCUGUUUGUCAACUCCCAGCUUCCAUUUCCAGUUUAUUCCUUUCUCUUCAUUACUACCUAUGUGACAGACUGGUGCUGUGAGAUUAGUGUGUUUCAUGCGCAUCCAUUCUUUGUUACAUCUUGAGAUCUACUCUUAUUUGUGCUCGCAUAACCCUAGUCUAUCCCCCGAACUACUGUCUGGAAUCCCUCUGCAGGACCAUUUCACAAUUUAUUUAUGCCUUCUCCUAUUGAUGGUUAUGUACAUGGUUUCCAGUUCUUCCCUAUUACAGACAACACUGUGAUCACCCCCUCAUACCUGUUGCCUUGUGUACUCAGGUACAAGCAUUUAUCUAAACACCUAGAAGGAGCCUUGCUGGGUUACACUUGCAGUUUCCCUAGAUACUGCUGAAUUGCCCUCCAAAAUGAUGGUGUCAAUUUACACUCCCAUCCAUUGUAUAUGGGAAGACCCAUUUCCCUCAACCUUUCCAACACUUGAUGUUGUUAGACUUUGUUUUGCUAAUCUGAUGGGUGACCGUGGUAUCUUGUUGUAAUUUGCCUGUUUCUGAUUCCUAAUUCUGUUGAGUAAACCCAUUUGGGUUUCUUCUACUGUAAAUUACCUAGUCAUAUAUUUUGCCCAUUUGUCUGUUCCUUGUUAUUUUAUGGGAGUUCUUUAAACAUCCUUGAUACCAAUCCUUUGUCUAUCAUGUUUUGCAUAUAUUUUCCUCCAAUCAAUACUUAU
rnacentral:lncRNA from 1 species